ACUUGCCAUACCAAAUCUACCUUUCUCCCUCUGUUAUCUUCUCCACCGCCUCUUUAUUGUUUAUUGUUUUUUUUUUUAAUUUAUUGAGUUUAGCUUGUUGGGGCUUUGGGGGCUCUGGUGGGUUCGAAGAAAAGAGGCAGGGCGAGAGAGGAAAGAGAUGAGGCAGAUGGGAAAGGGUAAGGUGAGAGGCUGAAGAAUCGAAACAGAAGGAAGAAUCAGAGAGGUUGAAGAUGAAAAGCUCGAUUGAGAAAGAGAGAGAGAUUCGGAGACCGAGCUAAAGCCUCCCGAGUUCAUCGCGACUUAUGUUUCUGCGGCCUUCCGUCCUAUCACCAUCGCUUGAAGGAGAUAUUAAAGGAGAAACAAUACCUCUUCUUGGUCCCAUUCUCUAUGUGUAUUCCUAUCUCUAGACGAGGACAGGUAACAGCAUGGGUUACCGUUAAACCCGAGCCACCGUAAGUGCAAUUCCUAGCUCUUAGUUAUAACAUCAAUAUCUAGAUUGAAGCAUAAGAAUGGUGAAACCGUUAUAGGAGUGGCUUUAUAUUUGUUUAAGAGCCUUACUGAUCUAUUAUGCUUUGAAAUUACAAACAAGAUAUCGAUGAUCAUAAGGUAGCCUAUGUGGGAGCUCUGCUUUUGACGGUCAAUUACCUCGAGGCACAACUUUGGACUAAUCUGAAUCGUGUUAUUAUUACUUGCUAAGAGCAUCAUCGAGUUUUAAACUCAAAAUGAUCUCCAAGUAAGAUUGGUGUUUUAUCCGAUUCACACGAGGUUCAAAUUCUGAUUCUUGGUUUAAGUGGAGCUCUUGCAGAUGAUAUGAAGUUUUUUUGUUGGAUUUGGUUGAGGUGAGUGAAAUAGGGACAAGCUGAAGAAGUUACAGUAGUUGCUUAUCAUAAGUCUAGGCUUAUCGGGUAUUAUCUGAAUGUUCUAUUGGUCUGCUGCAAUAUGAGAAUUGUUCAUGGAGAAGAUGAUUUUUGAUUUAAUGCAUUGAGGUCACUUAAAUUUGAGGAAUUAUCGCUCGGAACAGAAACAAUGUUUCUAUUGUCAUUCACUUAUUAAUUAGAUUUCCGGCAUAUUCCUACCAAAUUAGUGAUUAUUGAAUGGUAAUGACUUGGCUAACGCUAGUGAUAUUGGCGUGGGGUUGCUUCAAAAGUAUUUAGUGUAUAUGAACUAUUCUUUCUUGACUAAGUGUUAUCUUUUACUCUCUGGAUUAGAUUAUGGGCCAACCACAAGAUCCUCUACAUGAUUGACUUUUUGUUACAAUUAAGUUAAUCUUUCGUUGUACCCCUUCUCUAUAAAUUAAUUAAUUGGCUUCAAAAGAGUUGUUAGUUAAUAAUAUGCUCUUAUAAUUCAAAUGUAAUAUAUUUAUCAUUAUGGCAUUAACAUUAACCACUCUUUGAGAUUAUUCCAAGAGAAUAGGUGCCACCCAUUGGUUCAGGUUUAUAUUCUAAUAUGGCCAAAGCUGAUAGAGUUAUAACGGAUAUGGAUCGAGGAGACCAUAAACUUGAAUCUUGAAGGUUUGACUUGAUGAAUUAUUUUUAGUAGUCCUGUGAGUACUAUAUUCUCUUGUGAAAUGAUGCAUUAUAGUUAUAUAAAUUAUUUAAGAAGAAUAUUGUGAUAAUUAGAUUAAUGAAGCGGUCUUGUUAUGUUGUAUGAAAGGAUUUGAGAGAUAUUAGCCUUUUAUGUUUUAUUUUGAUUGGAGAUAUGCAGUGUGAUUAUGUAUGAGAUAUAUGAUAAUAAUGUGAUAUCAUUGUAAUGGGAUUGUGAUUGUGCUCGUGUAUACUGAUAUUGUUUGACUAUGGCAUGGGACUGCUGGACCCGAUGGAAUAGAAAAAUGGGCUCUAAUAGUUGCUGGACCUGGCGGAAUAUAAAUAGGGGUCUGAUCAGCCGCUGGACCCGGCGGAAGAGAAAAAUGGGCUCAAACGGUCGUUAGAUCCAGCGGAAUAUAAAUUGAGGUCAACUCUUAUCGUCAAAGUUAAUAGGCGGCCUCCACUUAUGAGAUAUGAAUAUUGAUAGUUGAGGAUGAUAUGAGUGAGAUGUGCGGGGUCACGGUACCGUCCUAAUUUAUCGCAAGAUAAGUUAGAGGUUAUACGGGAGAAUCAUUUUGAUGUGGGGGUUCAGCAUGGAAGAUAGUUAGCAAGAACUUUAUGUUUUACAAGUAUUAGAGCUAUCUAUGUAGUACUUGUAAUAAGUUACGACCUAAAAGAUUUUGUUUAACUACUCAUGGGAUGUUGUAAGAAAUAUGCUAUAUUUAUUUUUUUAGAGAUCUAUGAUUUUCUAGUGU